GGGGUUGUGGCUCAGUGGUAGGGCAUAUCUUUGGCAUGCCAAAAGUCCCAGCUUCAAUUGCUGGCACCUCCC